GGAAUGUUGAUACAAGCAUGGAAGAAGAAACUUUCUACAUGCACAAUAUUUAAAUCAUAAUCUUCCCUUGAAGCUAGGCUUAACCCUCCUGUUGUCCCCCCUCGGCUCUAUAAUAGAUGCCUCCACAAAUCCACAUCUUCGAAGAUGCUUCUUCACUAGUUUAGCAUUAUUUUUAGUCUCAAUGAGGAAGAUAAUAUCUGGGGAAUGGGAAUAACACAUCCCUUUAAG
rnacentral:misc_RNA from 1 species